rfam:Glycine soja cultivar W05 scaffold1271_24, whole genome shotgun sequence.
GUCACGUGUUAUGAUGACUGUCACGUGUCAUGUUCUAAUUGGAUGUCAACUCCAUGAAAGAUGAAAUGCAUUGUUGUUUUCAUUGAUCAAUCAUUAAGAACGUGACACGUGGCAGUCAAUAUCA